rnacentral:rRNA from 1 species
GAUGAACGCUGGCGGCGUGCCUAAUACAUGCCAGUCGAGCGAACAGAUAAGGAGCUUGCUCCUUUGACGUUAGCGGCGGACGGGUGAGUAACACGUGGAUAACCUACCUAUAAGACUGGGAUAACUUCGGGAAACCGGAGCUAAUACCGGAUAACAUAUUGAACCGCAUGGUUCAAUAGUGAAAGGCGGCUUUGCUGUCACUUAUAGAUGGAUCCGCGCCGUAUUAGCUAGUUGGUAAGGUAACGGCUUACCAAGGCAACGAUACGUAGCCGACCUGAGAGGGUGAUCGGCCACACGGGAACUGAGACACGGUCCAGACUCCGACGGGAGGCAGCAGUAGGGAAUCUUCCGCAAUGGGCGAAAGCCUGACGGAGCAACGCCGCGUGAGUGAUGAAGGUCUUCGGAUCGGAAAACUCUGUUAUCAGGGAAGAACAAAUGUGUAAGUAACUGUGCACAUCUUGACGGUACCUGAUCAGAAAGCCACGGCUAACUACGUG